AGUCAAACGCGAAUAUAAAAUGAUUUAAAAUUUGGACCAUGUCAAACGGAGGCCGCAAAUACUUAAGGUUGUAGCGAAGCACACCAGGCCAGCUAGUACUACUAUAUAUAGGAACACUUUACCCGGGGUUAUACAGAACUUCAGGAGACUGUAAUUCGUUCCAACCCAUUACCUAAAAAAUAUUCGAAACAAUUGAACCUGGUUGAAAUUGGCUGCUUUAUUUAAAAGAAAAAAGUACUCGCAAAACUAUAAAAACAAUUUCGCUGAAAUUGGGGUGGAGGCGUAAGAGAUGUCGCCGAUGACAGCGGCGGCAGCAGCGGCAACGGCUGUUGCUUGAUUUCCGAUGAUCUCAUAUUUACAAUGUAAAUUUGUUUGCUGAUGUAGAUGCUAUGACUUUAAACAAAAAACAUGCGGAAAAUUGUAAAUCACACACAAAAAUGGGGCAGGGGGAGAGUGCGAGGAAGUUAAGCGAAAUGAAAAUAUCAGAAAUUUCGCAACCCAACUAAAUUGAAAUCUAUUCAUUUAUUCAUUUGCACAUCUAGGCGAAAAAGUUUUCCAAGCAUUGCUACUGCCGCGAAAGCAUGGGAAAAUUCAAUGCGAAUGCAAUACGAGGAAAUCAUUUUUUUUAAUUUGGAAUGGAAAAUAUUUAUUCAGAGGACGCUGCUACCGAUACGUUGGCUCAUUUAAAGCGUAAAAUGGAAAAUACGAGAAAAUCAUGGAAGCUAUGCCCAGUCACACAGGAAUGCCAAUGAACUUUAAACCCAUGAGAAUUUUCAUCAUUCGCGCAGUUCAUCUAUUUAAAGAGAAAAGGUCCCUUGGUAUAACAAAAUAUACACACUUUCCUCCCAGGACUAGGGUACGGAUUAUGAUGGCAUGUCUACAUAAAGAAAUAUCAAAAACAUAUUUACAAUAUUUUCCAAAAAAAAACUAAAAACGCACUUUAACAAUUUCAAUACCCAAUUCCGAAAAGGAAUACAGAGAGAAAAAUUGACCCGAAUAAACUUAAUUGAUGAGCACAUGGGUAUCUAAUGUACAAAAUUUCUGCCUAAUCAUGGACGAAUCGAUCAAAAUCUGAUAAAGCUCUCACAAAUAAAGUAAAGUCUAGUUGGAA